rnacentral:tRNA from 1 species
GCCUGGGUGGCUCAGUCGGUUGGGUGCCUGACUUCGGCUCAGGUCAUGAUCUCACAGUUUGUGAGUUCGAGCCCCGCGUCGGGCU